rnacentral:rRNA from 1 species
UUCGCAAUGCCCGAAAGGGUGACGAAGCGACGCCGCGUGGGUGAGGAAGGCCUUCGGGUUGUAAAGCCCUGUCAGGAGUUAAGAAAUGUAGGUACGCUAAUAUCGUAUCUAUUUGACAAAGGCUCCAAAGGAAGCCACGGCUAACUCUGUGCCAGCAGCCGCGGUAAUACAGAGGUGGCAAGCGUUGUUCGGAAUUAUUGGGCGUAAAGAGCACGUAGGUGGAUUUGUAAGUCAGAUGUGAAAGCCUUCUGUUCAAAGGAAGAACGGCAUCUGAAACUGCGGAUCUUGAGUGUAGGAGGGGAGAGUGGAACUUCUGGUGGAGCGGUGAAAUGCGUAGAUAUCAGAAGGAACGUCGGCGGCGAAAGCGACUCUCUGGCCUAUUACUGACACUGAGUGUGCGAAAGUUAGGGGAGCAAACGGGAUUAGAUACCCCGGUAGUCCUAACCGUAAACGAUGGGCACUAAGUAGAGGGGUUUU